rnacentral:sRNA from 1 species
GUUCCUUUCUAAGUCCCUAUUUGUGCCUCCCCUUCUAAGAAAAGAACACAAAAACAGGGACUUAGAAGGGGAGGCACAAAUAGGGACUUAGAAAGU